GACGAACGCUGGCGGCGUGGAUUAGGCAUGCAAGUCGAACGGUAUCAUCCUUUCGGGGGUGAGAGAGUGGCGAACUGGUGAGUAACACGUAGGUUAUCUACCCUCAAGACGGGGACAACCCAGGGAAACUUGGGCUAAUACCGGAUGUGAGCAACUUUUAGUUGUUUGAAAGGUGGCGUAAGCUGUCGCUUGGGGAUGAGCCUGCGUCCUAUUAGUUAGUUGGUGAGGUAACGGCUCACCUAGGCAAUGAUAGGUAGGCGGCCUUAACGGGUGGUCGCCCACACUGGGAUUGAGAUACGGCCCAGACUCCUACGGGAGGCAGCAGUCGAGAAUAGUCUACAAUGGUCGGAAGACUGAUAGUGCGACGCCGCGUGAACGGUGAAUCCCUUCGGGGUGUAAAGUUCUUUUAUAUGUGAGCAGUGCUUCUUAUAUUAACAGUAUGGGGAGAGAGAUAUUAGCAUAUGAAUAAGCAACGGCUAACUCCGUGCCAGCAGCCGCGGUAAUACGU
rnacentral:rRNA from 1 species